CAGUCGCCGCGGGAAUACAGAGGGUGCGAGCGUUAAUCGGAUUUACUGGGCGUAAAGCGUGCGUAGGCGGCUUCUUAAGUCGGAUGUGAAAUCCCUGAGCUUAACUUGGGAAUUGCAUUCGAUACUGGGAAGCUAGAGUAUGGGAGAGGAUGGUAGAAUUCCAGGUGUAGCGGUGAAAUGCGUAGAGAUCUGGAGGAAUACCGAUGGCGAAGGCAGCCAUCUGGCCUAAUACUGACGCUGAGGUACGAAAGCAUGGGGAGCAAACAGGAUUAGAUACCCCUGUAGUCCCUGUCUCUUAUAC
rnacentral:rRNA from 1 species